rnacentral:rRNA from 1 species
GAUCAAGCGUCAAAAGGGCAUCCGGGGGAUGUCUUGGCGGUAAGAGGCGAUGAAAGACGUGGCACUCUGCGAUAAGCACCGGGGAGGCGAGAGCACCCUUUGAUCCGGUGAUUUCUGAAUGGGGAAACCCAUCUCCGAGAUGUUGGAUAAUUCGAGCGCUUCGGCGCUCGACCUGUCUAACAUUUCAAUAGUGAGAUAUUUUAAUCUGAAUACAUAGGGUUAAAAAGCGAACCCGGGGAAUUGAAACAUCUAAGUACCCGGAGGAAAGGACAUCAAUUGAGACUCCGUUAGUAGUGGCGAGCGAACGCGGACCAGGCCUGGUCUGAAAUAAGGAGAAGUAUCUGGGAAGGUACGCCGUAGUGGGUGAUAGCCCCGUAUCCGUAAAAUGAAGACCUUUUAGAGUAGGGCGGGACACGUGAAAUCCUGUCUGAACAUGGGGGGACCACCCUCCAAGCCUAAGUACUCCUUACCGACCGAUAGUGAACAAGUACCGUGAGGGAAUGAUGAAAAGAACCCCGAUGAGGGGAGUGAAACAGAUCCUGAAACCGGAUGCCUACAAGCUGAUGGAGCUCUUCGGAGUGACAUCGUACCUUUUGUAUAAUGGGUCAGCGACUUAGUGUUGCGUGCAAGCUUAAGCCGAUAGGUGUAGGCACAGCGAAAGCGAGUCUUAAUAGGGCGAAUGAGUACGUAGCAUUAGACCCGAAGGCAAGUGAUCUAGAUAUGGGCAGGCUGAAGGUGCAGUAACAUGCACUGGAGGGCCGAACCGUUGAGCGUUGAAAAGCUCUCGGAUGACCUGUGUCUAGGGGUGAAAGGCCAAUCAAACUUGCUGAUAGCUGGUUCUCCGCGAAAUCUAUUUAGGUAGAGCGUCACGAUUAGACUCUGGGGGGUAGAGCACUGAAUGGGCUAGGGGUCCUCACCGGAUUACCAAACCUUCUCAAACUCCGAAUACCCAGAAGUUAUGCGUGGCAGACACACGGCGGGUGCUAACGUCCGUCGUGAAAAGGGAAACAACCCAGACCGCCAAUUAAGGCCCCUAAGUAAUAGCUAAGUGCGAAACGAUGUGGAGGUGCUGAGACAAUCAGGAGGUUGGCUUAGAAGCAGCCAUCCUUUAAAGAAAGCGUAACAGCUCACUGAUCAAGCGCCUCUGCGCGGAAAAUGUAUCGGGACUAAAGUUAUUCGCCGAAAUUGCGGACUCGAAAGAGUGGUAGCGGAGCGUUCCGUAAGCCUGUGAAGGUGAACCGUGAGGUUUGCUGGAGGUAUCGGAAGUGAGAAUGCUGACAUGAGUAGCGACAAACAGGGUGAGAGACCCUGUCGCCGAAAGACCAAGGGUUCCUGCGUAAAGCUAAUCUGCGCAGGGUUAGCCGGCCCCUAAGGCAAGGCCGAAAGGCGUAGUCGAUGGGAACCACGUUAAUAUUCGUGGGCCAAGGGAUGAGUGACGGAUUUCGAAAGUUGUAUUCCCUUAUUGGAUUGGGAAUGCAGCCUGGAAGUUCCUGGAAAUAGCCUCCCUAUAAGACCGUACCCGAAACCGACACAGGUGGUCAGGUAGAGCAUACCAAGGCGCUUGAGAGAACUAUGUUGAAGGAACUCGGCAAAUUACCUCCGUAACUUCGGGAGAAGGAGGCCUCAAUCUGGGCAACCAGGUCUGAGGGGCACAAAACUGGGGGUUGCGACUGUUUAUCAAAAACACAGGGCUCUGCGAAGCCGUAAGGCGACGUAUAGGGUCUGACGCCUG